rnacentral:rRNA from 1 species
UACAGAGGGUGCAAGCGUUAAUCGGAUUUACUGGGCGUAAAGCGUGCGUAGGCGGCUAAUUAAGUCAAAUGUGAAAUCCCCGAGCUUAACUUGGGAAUUGCAUUCGAUACUGGUUAGCUAGAGUAUGGGAGAGGAUGGUAGAAUUCCAGGUGUAGCGGUGAAAUGCGUAGAGAUCUGGAGGAAUACCGAUGGCGAAGGCAGCCAUCUGGCCUAAUACUGACGCUGAGGUACGAAAGCAUGGGGAGCAAACAGGAUUAGAUACCCUGGUAGUCCAUGCCGUAAACGAUGUCUACUAGCCGUUGGGGUCUUUGAGACCUUAGUGGCGCAGCUAACGCGAUAAGUAGACCGCCUGGGGAGUACGGUCGCAAGACUAAA